rnacentral:lncRNA from 1 species
CGAGGGUGACGUGGCAAAGUGUGACUAUGCGAAAUUUCUCGGUUUUCGCGCCAAAACUUCUAAAAUCCAUAACUUUCGCAUACGAGCUCCGUUUUUGACGUUCUUUAUAUGCACGCGUAGCUAAAAUUACGAUCUACAACUUCCGUUUAGACUUCGUCGGCUAAUUUUGACUUUAAAUUUUAUAUUAUUAUUUUUAACAGACCGGGACAGGAAAUCCGUUAAAAAUUCAUAACUUCUUCAUCCGACGUCCGUUUUCGUCAGACUUUUUACCGUUGUGCUCCUAAUGACGAGACCUUCAAUUCUCGUUUAGGUUGUGUCGGCUAAAAAUCGCUCGAUCUAAAAUUCGAGUUUUUAGCUGUCUACUGCUACGCUGAAACUUCGAAAAAUCAUAACUUCCUCAUACGAAGUCAGAUUUGGGCGUUCUUUUUAUCGAACUUCUCGGUUUAACGAAUACUACAACUUUCGUUUAGAUUACUAAGGCUAAAAAGUAGUUUAUCAAAAACUCACUUUUUACGACAUUCAGCACCGUGCCGGUUUUGUCGCGAAACUUCGACAGGUCAUAACUUCUUCGUUAUAACUCGGAUUUUGGUAUUCUUUAUAUCCCCGAAAUCCUUGUUUCGACCACUACAACUUUAUGUAAAGAUAUCGGGCUUAUCUCACACUUUAAUUUUGACGCUUAUUUUUAUUCUUAAUUAAUUAAGCCCUAAUAAUUAAGCAUAAAACACAUAAUUCACAUAAUAUUCACAUAAUUCCUUUUCAUUUCUUCAAAAUGAGUUACAAAGGUUAACCUAGACUAUCAACUCAAUAUAAAUGCCUAGGCUAGAAACACGAGUGUUACAAUUCUCUCCCCCUUAGGAUGAUUCCGUCCCCGGAAUCACAUAUCACCAAACAACUGCGGGUAGCGACUCAUCAUGUCACUCUCCGUUUCCCAAGUGAGAUUUGGUCCAUUCGUAUGUUUCCAGCGCACAAGCACUAAAUCGACCAUCUUGCGUCGUAACUUCAUAGUCUUACGGUCAACGAUUGCCUCAGGUUCUUCGAUCAACCUCUUGUUUUCAUCCAACCUUAACUCAGAAAUCGGAAUUAUGUCGGGCACAUCUCCUGUGAACUUUCUCAAAUAACACACAUGAAAGGUGUUAUGAAUACCCUCUAGUUCUUCCGGUAACUCUAGCUUGUAAGCUUGAUUCCCGAUCCUCUGAAGAACUUUAAAUGGUCCAAUAAACCUUGGACUCAACUUCCCUCGUUUCCCAAAUCUUAUAAGUCCCUUCCACGGCGAGACUUUAAGUAAAACCGAAUCUCCAACAUCGAAGGAUAUCGGUUGUCUUUUCUUGUCAGCAUAACUCUUUUGUCGAUCUUGAGCAGCUAACAUCCUUUCCCUUAUCACUUUCAACUUUUCAGCAGUCUCAUGGACUAUUUCAGGUCCCAUAAACUGCUUUUCCCCAGCUUCCAGCCAACAUGAUGGCGUUCGACACUUCUCCCCAUACAAAGCGUGAUAAGGUGCCAUCUUAAUGCUUGAGUGGAAACUAUUAUUAUAGGAGAAUUCUACUAAAGGUAAGUGUUCAUCCCAGUUACCUUGGAAUUCUAGGGUACAUGCUCUCAGCAUAUCCUCCAAUGUUUGAAUCGUUCGCUCGCUCUGACCAUCGGUUUGCGGAUGGUAAGCUGUACUCAAACACAACUUGGUACCCAAUUCCUCUUGUAGACUCCUCCAAAACCUUGAGGUAAAACGGCUAUCACGAUCGGACACAAUCGUUAACGGAACACCGUGAAGCCUCACAAUUUCCUUCACGUAAGAAUUCGCAAGUUUAUCCAUAGACCAUUUCUCUUUGGCCGCUAUGAAAUGCGCACUCUUAGUGAAGCGAUCAACGACCACCCAAAUCAUGUCGUGACCGUUCCUUGUUCUGGGCAGUUUAGUCACAAAAUCCAUGGUGAUGUCUUCCCAUUUACCCAUGGGUACGGGUAAAGGUUCUAAACUCCCAUACGGUUUCUGAUGUUGUGCCUUAACCCUAGCACAAGUUACACACUCGGCCACAUACUUAGCAACAUCGAGCUUCAUCGUCGGCCACCAAUAAUAGGGUUUUAGAUCCCUAUACAUUUUCGUACUGCCGGGAUGAAUUGAGUACAUGGUCUUGUGAGCUUCUUCCAUCAGAAGAUCUCUUAUUCCGCCCGUCUUAGGUACCCAAAUUCUAUCUUGAAAUACCUUCAACCCUUGGUUGUUUGUACCGAACACUAACGUUUUGCCCAAACGUUCUUCCUUUCGGUCAUUUUUCUCUAAAGCUUCCUCUUGAGCUUUCUUUAUACUUUCCACAAUUGUCGAGACAACUUCAAUUCUCAACGCUCUUGGCCUUUUCUUUUCAAGGUUUACCUUCCGACUGAGAGCAUCGGCAACAACAUUUGCUUUACCAGGGUGGUAAAGUAUCUCACAGUCGUAGUCCUUGAGUAACUCUAGCCAGCGUCGUUGCCUCAUGUUCAAUUCCUUCUGAUUAAAGAGAUAUUGGAGACUCUUAUGAUCAGUGAAAAGUUUACACUUGGUGCCAUAAAGAUAAUGCCUCCAUAUCUUCAAGGCAAAUACUACCGCUGCCAACUCCAAAUCAUGAGUGGGGUAGUUCUUUUCAUGUUCCUUCAAUUGCCUCGAUGCAUACGCGAUCACUUUAUCCCUUUGGGUCAGAACACAACCUAACCCAACUCCGGAUGCAUCGCUAUAAACUGCAAAGUCAUCAACUCCUUCAGGCAAUGAAAGAAUCGGUGCUUCACACAAUCUCUUCUUCAACUUCUCAAAGGCUUCCUUAUGCUUCUCAUUCCAAGCAUAAGUGGCUCCUUUGUGGGUCAAAGCUGUUAAUGGAGUAGCAAUCGAAGAAAAGCCUUGGAUAAACCUUCGGUAAUAUCCAGCUAAUCCUAAAAAGCUUCGAAUCUCCGUAGGACUUUUUGGUUGUUCCCACUUCAUUACAGCUUCAAUCUUUGCUGGGUCGACCAUUAUCCCUUCUUGGUUAACCACAUGACCUAAAAAUUGGACUUCUUGAAUCCAAAAUUCACACUUGGAGAACUUUGCAUACAGCUUCUCCUUUUUCAGGACUUCUAGCACUUCACGCAGAUGCUUUUCAUGCUCCUGCUUGCUUUUCGAAUAAAUCAAGAUAUCAUCUAUGAAUACUAUCACGGAUUUAUCUAAGAAUGGUUUACAAACCCUAUUCAUCAAAUCCAUGAAAGCUGCUGGGGCAUUGGUUAGUCCGAACGACAUAACCAAAAAUUCAUAGUGUCCAUAUCUCGUUCUAAAAGCAGUCUUUUCGAUAUCCUGCUCUCUCACCUUUAGUUGAUGGUAUCCCGACCUAAGAUCGAUCUUCGAGAAAUAGCUCGAACCCUGCAACUGGUCGAACAAGUCAUCGAUCCUUGGCAACGGGUACUUGUUCUUUAUCGUCACUUUGUUCAGCUCUCUGUAAUCGAUGCACAUUCUCAUGCUUCCGUCUUUCUUCUUUACAAAUAACACAGGGGCUCCCCAGGGUGAUGAACUAGGUCGAAUGAAACCUUUGUCCAAUAACUCCUGAAGUUGUGUCAUAAGUUCUUUCAUUUCGGUUGGCGCUAAUCGAUAAGGUGCUUUCGCUAUCGGCGUCGUUCCUGGUAACAAGUCGAUACGAAAUUCUACUUGUCGAUCAGGGGGCAAUCCGGGAAGAUCUUCGGGAAAGACUUCCGGAUAAUCACACACCACCGGAAUAUUCUGCACCUCCUUCUUUUCCAUCUUGGCAUCGAUCACGAACGCUAGAUAUGAUGUACAUCCCUUGGCCAAACACUUUCUGGCUUUCAUUAGGGAAAUGAUUCCAGAGUUUACUCUGCGUUUGUCUCCGUACACCAUAAACGACUCUUUCCCUGGCGGGUUUACUUUUACUAUCUUCUUUCUACAUAGUAUUUCUGCAUCAUUGGCGCUAAGCCAAUCCAUUCCUAAAACUAUGUCGAAUCCAUUUAACUCGAUAGGCAAUAAUUCCUCUUGGAACUUAUUCCCAUCCAAGUCAAUGAGGAUGUUUUUCAUACGAUGGCUAACAGGUACAAACUUGCCACUAGCAAUCUCGACUAAUAAGGCAUUAACUAGCCUAUCUACAGGCAAAGCUAGCUUUCUACCAAAUUCAUGCGAUAUAAAGGAGUAAUUGGCUCCAGAAUCAAACAAAAUUUGGGCAGGCAAUUCGUUUACGAGAAAGGUACCUGAAGCGACAUCGACUUCUUCUUUUGCAGCUUCAAGUGUCAUCUGAAAGGCUCUCGCCUUCGGCUUUGGUGGUAGAUUGGGCUUUGCGGCAUCCUUCCUCUUUGGACAGUCUUUAAGAACAUGCCCUACUUCAUGGCACUCAAAACAUAUCCUCUUGUCGGACGGACACACGUUGGCAUAAUGCCCAGUCUUUCCACAUUUGAAGCAAGUCACCUCCUCACUACAUCUCCCAGAGUGCUUUCUCUUGCACUUCUCACACCAUUUCACUUCACCUCCUCCUCCUCCAAACUUCUUGGACUUAGAAAAUUUGCUUUUCUUGUUGGAACCCGAAGUUCCUUCAAAUUUUCUCUUUUCACCAACUUCUGCCCUCUCCAGACCCUUCUCUUUGAUCUGAACCUCGACAUUCUUAGCAGCCCAGAUGGCGGCUUUCAAAGUGGUUGCUUGCUUAACCAUCGGACCAAAGUCCGCUGGUAAUCCGAGGGCAAACUUGUUGACCUUAGAGAGUUCAGUUGGAACUAGAUGAGGAACUAGCUUCAUCUUUUCCAUAAAACUAGCAGCGUAUUCAGUAACGCUCAUCUUUCCUUUCUUUAAAUUCUGAAACUCAUUGUUGAUUUCCAGAAGAUCCUGCUCAGAGCAGUACUGCAAUUUCAGUUGUACCACAAAUUCUUCCCAAGACAUCUUACUAGCUUCACCCUUGGGCAUCGAAUCAGCUAGUAACUUCCACCAGCUCAACACACCAGACUUUAACAGAGGAAUUGCAAGUGCGGUCUUUUGUUUGUUGCUGCACUCGCAACUUUCAAACAUCGUCUCCAUUUCGGAGAUCCAAUUCAUGACUUCCACCGGUGUCGGACUCCCAGAUAGACACGGCGGUUUGGAUGCCAUGAAAUCUUUGUAUUUGCAUCCGCGUCCAUCAACUCCUCCAUCCUGGUUGUUUUGUCUAACUAUCGGUGGGUUGGCUUGACCAAGAGUCCCACUGUAGUUCCCUCCUACUGAUUGCCCUUCAUUCAAUACGGGCUGUUCAACAGGCAUCGUAGUCUCUUCCCUAUGUUGUUGUAGUAAUCGCCUUGUCUCCUCCAUUUGGCGAUCUAACAUCAUUUGCAUCAUUGCUUGUACCCCAGCCAUCGUCAUUGGCUCAGGUGCAGCUCCUACAACAGGUACUUGCUCAACUACUUGAGGUUGAGGCUGUUGAUCCCUGUUUCCGUUUGCAUUUGCAGCUCCACUACGAGUUAUGGCCAUUACAAUCUAUAUAACGAAUAAGGCGAAUUUAGGUCUUUAUCCUUGUUAGACAUGUCAAUUCCCUUAUCACUCCGAAACGUUUACAUGUUAGUUCUAAUCUCGUAAUCAUACGCUUAGAAUCCUACACACAUAAGGUUUCCAGAUCCGGUCGGCAACAGACCAUAGAUCCGAACAAAUAAUGGCACACAUGGCAAACACAUAGCAUUUAGCACAUAAGGGCAUUUUAGGCAUCUUCCCUAAAAUAAACUAGUGCUCGUGUCUAAAAUAUGGUAGACACUCAUCUCACAAUCAUCACUUAGCAUUCUAAGUUCAAGUCUAGAAAUUCUACAAUUUCUUAGUUCGCUUAAACUAAUGCUCUGAUACCAACUGUGACAUCCCCUAAUUUCUCGGCCAGAAAAGACCGAUUUAAUUUAUGCUUUUUAAAAUAAAAUCAGAGAAAUCUUUUUAAAAGAUGUUGCGGAAUUGGUCCCCAAACAAAAUAUGAUAAAAGUUUAUCAAAACCCUUCAUUAAGAAGGUAUAUGUUUUCCAUAUAUAUAUCAAAACCUCGGGAUGUCAUGUUCCGAUACAGAUCAAAAGCAUAAACAAGACAUUAUAAGCCUUUCAACAGUUAUUUACAACUACUGGCCUAUAAUCCAAAAAUCUCUCGUUGUCCUCCGACUAUGCUCGGGGUCCACUACCUGUAACAUAAAAAGCUGAGUGGGUCAGGCUUGGGAGCCUGGUGAGCAUAUAGGGUUUUCAACCCACAAUAAUAAUAAACUUACUAAGUUCAUCAAUCAACAAUAACCCUGAUUACCCGUUCCCGUUAUCCUCACUUUAUGUCCCUAAACACUUGUCACAAGGGACCUAGCCUAAAGAAUAUCAUCGGGAUGGACACUACUGCUAAGGGGUUUCCUCAGCCAUACAUGUCCUAAAGGCAACCAUGAGGGGGAUGGAGUACAGCGAAUGAACACUCUUAGUUCAUUAACACCUACAGGUUGCGGACCUGCUAAUGUUUCCCACUGGACUGUCUAGAAAGUCCGUGGUCGUCAUCCAAACUCCGCUAGAUGACUGGAUCUCAAAACACAUCGAGGCCUCUCAUCAAUUUUAUUUUAUCACACAUCACAAUCUACCCAUGUUCUACCCAACAUAUUUGUAGAUAAAAAUACUUAUACAGUUUAAAACUUGUAUAAAACAUCAACACAACAAUCACCUCAAAUAAAUAAUUAAUAUAUUUACACAUAGCACGUAUUAUAAGGUAAAUACUUCAUAUCUAUGUGUAAAAUGAAAGUGACUAUACACUCACAUGAUUUGAUGAUAAUCGGGCAGCAAUUCGUUUCCUAAAACGAUCGUUUCUAAUAAAACCGGGAGUUUUAUUGAGAAACCGGGCUUUGUAAAAGUCGGGCUUCGAAACCGAAAAGAUAAAUUUUCCGGGCUUCUCGGGCACUUCGUGGGGUAUUCCGGGCUUUACAAUCGAUACCGGGGCUUUGCGGGAUGUUAAUAUGAAGAAAAUAUGGGUUUAGGGGCUAAAUAUGGCAAAAUUCCAAAAAUACCCGGGAGGUCUCGCACCCUCCUAUUUAUAGGGGGAAGCUUCUGAUCGGACGGUCAGGAGUCUUCUGAUCCGACGGCUGAGAAGGCUCGCAGAGGGGGAGGCUCGCAUGAGGGCUGCGCGUGCGAAGGGCUCUCUGGCGGCUUGUGAUUGGACCGAGGUCUAGGGUCCGAAGUAGGGGGUUCGUGGCACCUGCGAGGGUUCGGACUCAUGAGUCACUACACACGCGUCGGAUGCGAGGCUUGCCACCGAGGCUUCUACGUGUAGUCAGCGGAUUGGACCGCAGCUCGGACUCGGAAGGACAUGACACGCCUCGCCAGGUGGCUUCGUGACUCAGCAGCUUGGUGACUCAGCAGCUUCGGUGACUCAGCAGGACACGUGUCACAUGCGAGGCGAGGGUGACGUGGCAAAGUGUGACUAUGCGAAAUUUCUCGGUUUUCGCGCCAAAACUUCUAAAAUCCAUAACUUUCGCAUACGAGCUCCGUUUUUUACGUUCUUUAUAUGCACGCGUAGCUAAAAUUAAGAUCUACAACUUCCGUUUAGACUUCGUCGGCUAAUUUUGACUUUAAAUUUUAUAUUAUUAUUUUUAACAGACCGGGACAGGAAAUCCGUUAAAAAUUCAUAACUUCUUCAUCCGACGUCCGUUUUUGUC